ACUUAACGGCCGCGGUAUUUUGACCGUGCAAAGGUAGCGCAAUCACUUGUCUUUUAAAUGAAGACCCGUAUGAAUGGUUAAACGAGGGCUUAACUGUCUCCCUUCUCCAGUCAAUGAAAUUGAUCUACCCGUGCAGAAGCGGGUAUAAACUUACAAGACGAGAAGACCCUUUGGAGCUUAAGACAAAAGAUCACUUAUGUUAAGUAAAAAAAUAAAACUAAAUAAUCCUUGAUCAUAGUCUUCGGUGGGGGCGACCGCGGGAUAAAAUAAAACUCCCGCAAGGACUGAAGAAACCCUUUAAAACCAAGAAAGACAUUUCUAAGUCACAGAAUUUCUGACCACAAAGAUCCGGCCACGCCGAUCAACGAACCAAGUUACCCUAGGGAUAACAGCGCAAUCCCCUUUUAGAGUUCCUAUCGACAAGGGGGUUUACGACCUCGAUGUUGGAUCAGGACAUCCUAAUGGUGCAGC
rnacentral:rRNA from 1 species